CUUGUAUCUCUGUCCCUCCGCAGGUGUUUCUUCUUGGCGUCCUGAGGUGGGCGGGGCAUGUGCGUAGCUUCUUACCCUCCUUGUAUCUCUGUCCCUCCGCAGGUGUUUCUUCUUGGCGUCCUGAGGUGGGCGGGGCAUGUGCGUAGCUUCUUACCCUCCUUGUAUCUCUGUCCCUCCGCAGGUGUUUCUUCUUGGCGUCCUGAGGUGGCGGGGCAUGUGCGUAGCUUCUUACCCUCCUUGUAUCUCUGUCCCUCCGCAGGUGUUUCUUCUUGGCGUCCUGAGGUGGGCGGGGCAUGUGUGUAGCUUCUUACCCUCCUUGUAUCUCUGUCCCUCCGCAGGUGUUUCUUCUUGGCGUCCUGAGGUGGGCGGGGCAUGUGUGUAGCUUCUUACCCUCCUUGUAUCUCUGUCCCUCCGCAGGUGUUUCUUCUUGGCGUCCUGAGGUGGGAGGGGCAUGUGUGUAGCUUCUUACCCUCCUUGUAUCUCUGUCCCUCCGCAGGUGUUUCUUCUUGGCGUCCUGAGGUGGGAGGGGCAUGUGCGUAGCUUCUUACCCUCCUUGUAUCUCUGUCCCUCCGCAGGUGUUUCUUCUUGGCGUCCUGAGGUGGGAGGGGCAUGUGCGUAGCUUCUUACCCUCCUUGUAUCUCUGUCCCUCCGCAGGUGUUUCUUCUUGGCGUCCUGAGGUGGGAGGGGCAUGUGCGUAGCUUCUUACCCUCCUUGUAUCUCUGUCCCUCCGCAGGUGUUUCUUCUUGGCGUCCUGAGGUGGGCGGGGCAUGUGCGUAGCUUCUUACCCUCCUUGUAUCUCUGUCCCUCCGCAGGUGUUUCUUCUUGGCGUCCUGAGGUGGGCGGGGCAUGUGCGUAGCUUCUUACCCUUUGUAUCUCUGUCCCUCCGCAGGUGUUUCUUCUUGGCGUCCUGAGGUGGGCGGGGCAUGUGCGUAGCUUCUUACCCUCCUUGUAUCUCUGUCCCUCCGCAGGUGUUUCUUCUUGGCGUCCUGAGGUGGGAGGGGCAUGUGCGUAGCUUCUUACCCUCCUUGUAUCUCUGUCCCUCCGCAGGUGUUUCUUCUUGGCGUCCUGAGGUGGGAGGGGCAUGUGCGUAGCUUCUUACCCUUCUUGUAUCUCUGUCCCUCCGCAGGUGUUUCUUCUUGGCGUCCUGAGGUGGGCGGGGCAUGUGCGUAGCUUCUUACCCUCCUUGUAUCUCUGUCCCUCCGCAGGUGUUUCUUCUUGGCGUCCUGAGGUGGGCGGGGCAUGUGCGUAGCUUCUUACCCUCCUUGUAUCUCUGUCCCUCCGCAGGUGUUUCUUCUUGGCGUCCUGAGGUGGGAGGGGCAUGUGUGUAGCUUCUUACCCUCCUUGUAUCUCUGUCCCUCCGCAGGUGUUUCUUCUUGGCGUCCUGAGGUGGGAGGGGCAUGUGUGUAGCUUCUUACCCUCCUUGUAUCUCUGUCCCUCCGCAGGUGUUUCUUCUUGGUGUCCUGAGGUGGGAGGGGCAUGUGUGUAGCUUCUUACCCUCCUUGUA